AUUGAACGCUGGCGGCAUGCUUUACACAUGCAAGUCGGACGAGUGGCGAACGGGUGAGUAACGCAUCGGAAAGUACCGAGUGAUGGGGGAUAACUAUCCGAAAGGACAGCUAAUACCGCAUAUUAUUCGAGCGGCCGAUUUGUGAUUAGCUGGUUGGCGGGGUAAAGGCCCACCAAGGCGACGAUCAGUAGCGGGUCUGAGAGGAUGAUCCGCCACACUGGGACUGAGACACGGCCCAGACUCCUACGGGAGGCAGCAGUGGGGAAUUUUGCACAAUGGGCGCAAGCCUGAUCCAGUCAUGCCGCGUGUAUGAAGAAGGCCUUCGGGUUGUAAAGGACUUUUGUCAGGGAAGCGGUACCUGAAGAAGAAGCACCGGCUAACUACGUGCCAGCAGCCGCGGUAAUAC
rnacentral:rRNA from 1 species